UUUUUCUGACUCGCACUUGAACGUUUUCUUGAGGAAGAUUCAGUCAGUAAGAAGACAGCAUGGAGCUCAAUAUACUACACCUGCUGCUGUUGCUGACUUCAGUCGUCCACUCUGCACUUUCUCAAGGGGAGAUCAAGACGGUUCUCAGACUAGAACCCAGCAGAACACAGAUCUUCCCUGGAGAUUCUGUCACUUUAAUAUGUGACACAGAACCAAAGAGUGAACCUACAGGGAGGUACAAGUUUUAUAUGAAGCCGGAACAUCAGGAUCAUGAACAGCACCUUACAUUUUGGAUUAAGGAGAAUAAUUAUAACAUCACUUCUGUAAAAAAAAAAUCAGACAGUGGAUCCUACUGGUGUGAGAGAUAUGGUAUUGAUACUGAAGGUGAUCGACUUCAUGUGAUUGUGUCAGAACUUCCUGAACCCACAGUGACUCUAAUGUCUCCACAGAGACCUUUCUACUCUGGAGAUACGGUCACGCUGAGGUGUGAUAUAACACCUAAGUACACAGACUGGGAACAGUACUUCUGGUACAGAGACAGGACUUUAAUUACCAGUAAGACCAGUAGGACCAUCAACAUCUCUCUCCCUGAUGAGGCUGGUCAGUACGGUUGUAGUGGAAGAAGAGCAGGUCGUCCCAAGAUGAGCUCCACCAGCUCCAGUUUCACAGUUUCUUCCCAGGUAACUAUAAACUCCUGGUCUUGGAGACUCAGACUGGCUAGUUCUCUAGCUGUUGUUUCUGUGUACCUGCUGCUCACCGUGGUCCUCAUUGUCAAGGUUCGAGGAACAAUCUGUGCAUGUGAAUCCGACAAAGCAUCGGGCCAAAGCAUAGAAGAUUAUGAAGCCCAAGCUGACGUGACCGACCGUCGAUAUUUAAAUGUGGCUGUUUAAUAGCCUGCAUGCACCUCAUCUAAAUAAAAUACAGCAUGAGAGAAGAAGAAAGGAGGAC
ensembl:lncRNA low affinity immunoglobulin gamma Fc region receptor II-like